GUAAAUACCGGUGAUGAGGCUCACCGUAAUCGCAUCUUAAUGCUGACGGCUUCUGCUUUAAG
rnacentral:ncRNA from 2 species